UACUCGAGUGGCGAACGGGUGAGUAACACGUGGGUGAUCUGCCCUGCACUUCGGGAUAAGUCUGGGAAACUGGGUCUAAUACCGGAUAGGAGCCAUUUUUAGUGUGAUGGUUGGAAAGUUUUUUCGGUGUAGGAUGAGCUCGCGGCCUAUCAGCUUGUUGGUGGGGUAAUGGCCUACCAAGGCGGCGACGGGUAGCCGGCCUGAGAGGGUGGACGGCCACAUUGGGACUGAGAUACGGCCCAG
rnacentral:rRNA from 1 species